AUGCAUCUUUGAAAACCCUUCCCUCCC
rnacentral:piRNA from 1 species